UACAGAGGGUGCAAGCGUUAAUCGGAAUUACUGGGCGUAAAGCGUGUGUAGGUGGUUAGAUAAGUUAGAUGUGAAAACCCUGGGCUUAACCUGGGAACUGCGUUUAAGACUGUUUAGCUAGAGUACUGUAGAGGGUAGUGGAAUUUCCAGUGUAGCGGUGAAAUGCGUAGAUAUUGGAAGGAACACCAGUGGCGAAGGCGACUACCUGGACAGAUACUGACACUGAGACACGAAAGCAUGGGGAGCAAACAGG
rnacentral:rRNA from 1 species